UACGUAGGGUGCGAGCGUUGUCCGGAAUUAUUGGGCGUAAAGAGCUUGUAGGCGGUUUGUCGCGUCUGCCGUGAAAAUUCGAGGCUCAACCUCGAACUUGCGGUGGGUACGGGCAGACUAGAGUGUGGUAGGGGAGACUGGAAUUCCUGGUGUAGCGGUGAAAUGCGCAGAUAUCAGGAGGAACACCGAUGGCGAAGGCAGGUCUCUGGGCCACUAUUGACGCUGAGAAGCGAAAGCAUGGGGAGCGAACAGG
rnacentral:rRNA from 1 species